UAGUGGCUUACCAAGGUUGCAACGGGUAACGGGGAAUCAGGGUUCGAUUCCGGAGAGGGAGCCUGAGAAACGGCUACCACAUCCAAGGAAGGCAGCAGGCGCGCAAAUUACCCAAUCUAGACAGUAGGAGGUGGUGAAGAGAAGUACUAAGUGGUGGUUAUAAACUACCAGCUUGGAAUGAACGUAAUUUAAGCAAUUCGAUGAGUAACUACUGGAGGGCAAGUCCUGGUGCCAGCAGCCGCGGUAAUUCCAGCUCCAGUGGCGUGAUUUAAAGUUGCUGCGUUUAAAACGCUCGUAGUUGGAUCAUGCAGUGGCACACGGUUAUUCCUAGAACUGCGCAACGUCCGAAUUGUUCCAACUUUUUGGGCUGUGCGUUCUGGGAAGUUAACAGCCGUGUGCUACUAUUUGCACGCAAGUAUAGGGUUUGGCCUUAAGUGUGUCGAGUCUUGUAUCUUGCGGGGUGUGCCUUGAAUAAAACAGAGUGCUCAAAGCAAGCGAUCGCUUGAAUGUUAUAGCAUGGAACGAACAAACGUGUAUUUGUGCGUGUUGUGCGACGAUGGUGAUCCUCAGGUUUGCCGUUGUUGCUGACGCGUGCAGCACCCACCAAAAUACGGAUGUUGGUUACGUAUGCGGUGAUGAUUAACAGGAGCGGUUGGGGGCAUUGGUAUUUGGGCGCGAGAGGUGAAAUUCUUAGACCGGCCAAGGACUAACAAAUGCGAAGGCAUCUGUCUAGACCGUUUCCAUUAAUCAAGAACGAAAGUGGGAGGUUCGAAGACGAUCAGAUACCGUCCUAGUUCCCACCCUAAACUAUGCCGACCUGGGAUCAGCUUGGUGAUAUACAAGCGCUAAGUUGGUCCCCCUGGGAAACCUUAAGUUUUUCGGUUACGGGGAGAGUAUGGUCGCAAGGCUGAAACUUAAAGGAAUUGACGGAAGGGCACCACCAGGGGUGGAGCCUGCGGCUUAAUUUGACUCAACACGGGGAAACUUACCUGGUCCGGACAUCGAAAGGAUAGACAGACUGAUAGAUCUUUCUUGAUGCGAUGAGUGGUGGUGCAUGGCCGUUCUUAGUUCGUGGAGUGAUCUGUCAGGUUUAUUCCGGUAACGAACGAGACUACGUUCUCCAUUUCAGAUACGGAAGUAGGGCGCUUGGCUGACUUACUUCGGUAAGUCAAUCCAGGUUCUUGUAGGUAUAGGUGUCGAUCUUGCAGUGUGUAGCGCGUAGGGGCAACUCUGCGCGUCAAGCAUUGUAGGCUAGGUAUCUAUCCCUUCCGCUAAGCAGUCUUUGGUUUCGGCCUUGGGCUGCCUCAUGGAGAGACAACAGGUAUAUC
rnacentral:rRNA from 1 species